AUGAACGCUGCCAGAAUGCUUAACACAUGCAAGUCAACUUGAAUUUGGGUUUUUAACUUAGGUUUGGGUGGCGGACGGGUGAGUAACGCGUAAAGAACUUGCCUCACAGCUAGGGACAACAUUUGGAAACGAAUGCUAAUACCUAAUAUUAUGAUAAUAGGGCAUCCUAUAAUUAUGAAAGCUAUAAGCGCUGUGAGAGAGCUUUGCGUCCCAUUAGCUAGUUGGAGAGGUAACGGCUCACCAAGGCGAUGAUGGGUAGCCGGCCUGAGAGGGUGAUCGGCCACAAGGGGACUGAGACACGGCCCUUACUCCUACGGGAGGCAGCAGUGGGGAAUAUGGGACAAUGGACCGAGAGUCUGAUCCAGCAAUUCUGUGUGCACGAUGAAGUUUUUCGGAAUGUAAAGUGCUUUCAGUUGGGAAGAAACAAAUGACGGUACCAACAGAAGAAGUGACGGCUAAAUACGUG
rnacentral:rRNA from 1 species